rnacentral:rRNA from 1 species
CCUACGGGAGGCAGCAGUGAGGAAUAUUGGUCAAUGGACGGAAGUCUGAACCAGCCAAGUAGCGUGCAGGAUGACGGCCCUAUGGGUUGUAAACUGCUUUUGUAUGGGGAUAAAGUUAGGGACGUGUCCCUAUUUGCAGGUACCAUACGAAUAAGGACCGGCUAAUUCCGUGCCAGCAGCCGCGGUAAUACGGAAGGUCCAGGCGUUAUCCGGAUUUAUUGGGUUUAAAGGGAGCGUAGGCCGGAGAUUAAGUGUGUUGUGAAAUGUAGACGCUCAACGUCUGACUUGCAGCGCAUACUGGUUUCCUUGAGUACGCACAACGUUGGCGGAAUUCGUCGUGUAGCGGUGAAAUGCUUAGAUAUGACGAAGAACUCCGAUUGCGAAGGCAGCUGACGGGAGCGCAACUGACGCUUAAGCUCGAAGGUGCGGGUAUCAAACAGGAUUAGAUACCCGAGUAGUC